AAAAUCUUAAAACAUCAACUCAUUUUCAAAUUGCUCUUCUCUCUCUUCAUUCAAGAACAAACACCACACUCUGCAAUUGAGCUUUCUUCUCCGAUCCAUCCUUGUCUGAGAAGACAGUGGUUACCGGCCAGGGACGGCGGCGCCACCUUCUUCUCUAGAGAACCACCACUAAAAAUCUAAAGCACUAACCCCCACACGUUUUCGGCCAAGGAUUACGAAUCUGACCUCAAACAACUCAAAAACUCAACCAAAAAACCUAGAUCGGAGAUUGAAUCCGAAAACUGUAACUUACAUAAAACAAAAUUAGAUCAUCAAACUUACGCAAAUCAAACAAUCACAUGAGGGGUAUGGAUCAACGAAGGGAGCUCUACACAUUGGUAACCACAAAAUGGCGAGAAGGGUUCAAAAAUUACCUAAUUAGAGCUAGUCCAAUGUAACUCCGGUGAUGGAAUGAUGGUAAAUAUUUCUUGAUUUUCGAUCUUUUCUCCCUCUUCUCUUCCACUUUCUACUUUUUCUUUGAUGCUUUUGUUUCUUGCUGCUUCAGUGAGGGUGAGGGUAAGCUCAGGUUUUUCUUAAGCUUUAAUGGAAAACUUUAAGAAAUCCUUUAUGUUUAGAGCUUUUAGUGAGGGACUUAAGGGAAUUCUUAUAGAGUUUCGGUGUAUAGAAUCCUCAAUGUAAAUGAAUGAGGGAGGUACUGUUAUAUAGGGGAUUGGUGAGUGUGUGACAUUUAUGUGAAUGAAAAUAUUAGGUGAUUGUUUGUGUCAGUUGAAUCAUGUGGAAUUUUUGUUUGAGAAAUAUGUGAGCUGGAUUAUUUGCAAUCAAUCGGUUAGAGAAAUCCCUGAUUUUAUGGGAUAGUUUGUGAGUGGAAUUUCGGAACACAUCCUUGUUUCUUUGCUGAGAUGGUUUUCAUUCACUUUUGUUUUUAGCUAAUGAUGUAUAUAUAUGAUGAUUAUGGUGUAUAUGCUGAUGGAACUCUGUAUUUCACAUAUGAAUUUUAUUGUAUGGUUCAUCAAAUAUUUUGGCUUUUACUAUUUUGCUCAUGAGUUUAAUCUAUAUGGCAUGUGUAUGAUGAUGGUGCUCAAAUUUUGUCUUGCUUUUAUUAUGGUAACUUUCGUGAACGAUGCUAACAGAAAUUCUACUUUUGCUUUGUGUACGCAACCAUGUGAGCUUUAUGGAAUGGUUAGGCUUGGCUUAGCUUGCAUAUGGGACAAGUAGAUUGUGGAGUGCAAGGAAUUGGCUUGCUGCUAUCGGGCUUGGCUUUGGAAUACUGGAGCUUGCCUUAUUUUCGCUUUUUCUACAUUUUAUUGACUCCAUAUGUAUUGAUGUAUACAAGGACAUAUGAAGUGUAAUAUGUAGGUAAUGAAAAUUGGAAAACAUGGACUAAUAUGAAUGUAAAACAAAAAUUCAAAUUGGAGUACAAUUCAUUUAAUUGUAAAAUAACAUUGUUU
rnacentral:lncRNA from 1 species